rnacentral:rRNA from 1 species
UACGGGGGGGGGCAAGCGUUGUUCGGAAUUACUGGGCGUAAAGGGCUCGUAGGUGGCCAACUAAGUCAGACGUGAAAUCCCUCGGCUUAACCGGGGAACUGCGUCUGAUACUGGAUGGCUUGAGUUGGGAGAGGGAUGCGGAAUUCCAGGUGUAGCGGUGAAAUGCGUAGAUAUCUGGAGGAACACCGGUGGCGAAGGCGGCGGUCCUGGACCAACACUGACACUGAUGAGCGAAAGCCAGGGGAGCAAACGGG